GCUCUAAUUGCCUGCCGCUUAAAAGACGCUCACUUGUUUGUCAGUAGCGAUUACCGCGCAUUAACACCCCCGGCUUUUAUUCGCUUCGCUCCGUUAAUAAGUCAUGAACCUCAUCACAUUUUUAGAGUGUAAAAACACUUUCCGGUGCAGAAAAGUCCGUGCUUAAUCCUGCUAUAUGGCAAGAUUUUCAACACACAGUAAAGUUGACGUGGCUGACUCAGGAAAUGUGAUAAUUGGAGACAUUUCAGCGAUGUCAACGAGCUCCCCACCAUGGUGCGGUGUGUCUGUGACUCCCCUUCACGGGGGGAUUUCGGCGGGCUAUGGCAACCCCGUAAUGCCGCUCUGAUAGAAGCGUCAGGCGAUGGCUGCCGCCCUUCCCUGCGACGGCUCCAAGAGCGGGAGAACAUCAUCUGAUCCUAAUUUUGCUUCCUUAAAUAGCUCCCCAAUGACAAGAGCCCAAAUUAAAGCCUUCCCCUCCCUACCCUUUCUGCGCAUAUUUCAUCCCUUCUUUCAGGGGUUAACUGUCAAAACUGGCGCCGUCCUGUCGGGGGGGAAAAAAUACAAAUAAAAAAAACACAACAGUCAUGA